GAGUCGUUGGUUCAGUGGCAGAACAUUUGCUAACCAUGCGAAUGACGCCGGGGUUCGAUUCCCCGUCGACUCA
rnacentral:tRNA from 1 species